rnacentral:rRNA from 1 species
GACGAACGCUGGCGGCGUGCUUAACACAUGCAAGUCGAACGGAAAGGCCCUGCUUUUGUGGGGUGCUCGAGUGGCGAACGGGUGAGUAACACGUGAGUAACCUGCCCUUGACUUUGGGAUAACUUCAGGAAACUGGGGCUCAUACCGGAUAGGAGCUCCUGCUGCAUGGUGGGGGUUGGAAAGUUUCGGCGGUUGGGGAUGGACUCGCGGCUUAUCAGCUUGUUGGUGGGGUAGUGGCUUACCAAGGCUUUGACGGGUAGCCGGCCUGAGAGGGUGACCGGCCACAUUGGGACUGCGAUACGGCCCAGACUCCUACGUGAGGCAGCAGUGGGGAAUAUUGCACAAUGGGCGGAAGCCUGAUGCAGCAACGCCGCGUGCGGGAUGACGGCCUUCGGGUUGUAAACCGCUUUCGCCUGUGACGAAGCGUGAGUGACGGUAAUGGGUAAAGAAGCACCGGCUAACUACGUG